GGAGAGAUGGCUCAGAGGUUAAGAGCACUGGCUGCUCUUCCAGGGGUCCUGAGUUCAAUUCCCAGCAACUUCA
rfam:Mesocricetus auratus contig050672, whole genome shotgun sequence.